rnacentral:rRNA from 1 species
AUGAACGCUGGCGGCGUGCCUAAUACAUGCAAGUCGAGCGAACAGACGAGGAGCUUGCUCCUCUGACGUUAGCGGCGGACGGGUGAGUAACACGUGGAUAACCUACCUAUAAGACUGGGAUAACUUCGGGAAACCGGAGCUAAUACCGGAUAAUAUAUUAAACCGCAUGGUUCAAUAGUGAAAGACGGUUUUGCUGUCACUUAUAGAUGGAUCCGCGCCGCAUUAGCUAGUUGGUAAGGAAACGGCUUACCAAGGCAACGAUGGGUAGCCGACCGGGGGGGGUGAACGGCCCCACUGGAACUGAGACCCGGUCCAGCCCCCGACGGGAGGCAGAAGUAGGGAAUUUUCCGAAAUGGGCGAAAGCCUGACGGAGCAACGCCGCGUGGGUGAUGAAGGUUUUCGGAUCGUAAAACUCUUUUAUUAGGGAAAAACAAAUGUGUAAGUAACUAUGCACGUCUUGACGGUACCUAAUCAGAAAGCCACGGCUAACUCCGU